AUGGGGCUGACGCUGCUGAGCCCCUACCUGCGGUCCGUCGGCUCCGACUUCCGGCACGGCGCCAACUUCGCCACGCUCGCCUCCAUGGCGCUGCUGCCCAACACGUCGCUCUUCGUCACCGGCAUCAGCCCCUUCUCCCUCGCCAUCCAGCUCCGGCAGAUGAAGGAGCUCAGCAACAGAGCCAUCGCCUCCAGAGGCUCCAGCCAACUUCCCCCGCCCGAUGUUUUCGGCAACUCUCUGUACACGGUCGACAUCGGCCAGAAUGAUUUCGCCUCCAACCUGGCGGCCCAGGGCAUCGAGCGUGUCAAGCAAACGCUUCCUUCGGUUAUCAGCCAGAUAUCAGAGACAAUACAGGACUUGCACAGCAUCGGGGCUCGCAAAUUCAUGGUGUUCAACAUGGCACCGAUCGGGUGCUACCCGGCUUUUCUAGUCGAGCUUCCACAUAGCAGCAACGAUCUGGAUGAGUAUGGCUGCAUGACAAGUUACAAUAGCGCGGUUGUCUACUACAAUGAACUGCUGAACAACAGCUUGGCCGAGGUUAGGAAGACGCUGCAGAAUACGUCGAUCGUGUUGAUUGACAAAUAUUCCGUCAUGCUCGAGCUGUUCAGGCAUCCAGAAGAUCAUGGCGAGCUUUCUCUCGAAUCUUUUUCUAACAUCCAACUAGUACAAGUAUCAAGGCUCAAGUAUGGGACCAAGGCUUGCUGCGGAUACGGUGGUGGAGCUUACAAUUUUGACCCAGAUCUGUACUGUGGCACCGGCAAGAUUGUGAAGGGCAACAAUGCGAGUGCGGCGGCCUGCGGAGACCCGCAGAACUACGUGAGCUGGGAUGGAAUCCAUGCCACUGAAGCUGCAAACAAUAUCGUAGCAUCUGCAGUGAUGAGUGGUUCGUACUCGUAUCCGCCUUCUGAUCUUUCAAAACUUUGCCAGCCGUGA
rnacentral:rRNA from 1 species